CGGGAAAACUAACAUAUCAAUAAGCGGAGGAAAAGAAACUAACAAGGAUUCCCCUAGUAACUGCGAGUGAAGCGGGAAAAGCUCAAAUUUAAAAUCUGGUGGCCUUUGGUCAUCCGAGUUGUAAUUUAGAGAAGCGUCUUCCGCGCUGGACCGUGCACAAGUCUCCUGGAAUGGAGCGUCGUAGAGGGUGAGAAUCCCGUCUUUGGCACGGACGCCCAGUGCUUCUGUGAUGCGCUCUCGAAGAGUCGAGUUGUUUGGGAAUGCAGCUCAAAAUGGGUGGUGAACUCCAUCUAAAGCUAAAUAUUGGCGAGAGACCGAUAGCGAACAAGUACCGUGAGGGAAAGAUGAAAAGCACUUUGGAAAGAGAGUGAAACAGUACGUGAAAUUGUUGAAAGGGAAACGCUUGAAGUCAGUCGCGUCGUCCGAGACUCAGCCUCGCCUCGGCUUGGUGUACUUCUCGGCCGACGGGUCAGCAUCAAUUUUGCCCCUUGGAUAAUGGCGAGGGAAAUGUGACACCUUUGCGGGUGUGUUAUAGUCUCUAGUCGCAUGCAAGGGUCGGGAUUGAGGAACUCAGCACGCGCCUUCGGGCGUCGGGGUUUGCCCACGAUACGUGCUUAGGAUGUUGGCGUAAUGGCUUUAAACGACCCGUCUUGAAACACGGACCAAGGAGUCUAACAUGCCCGCGAGUGUUCGGGUGGAAAACCCGUGCGCGCAAUGAAAGUGAAAGUUGGGACCUCUGUCGUGGAGGGCACCAACGCCCGGACCAGACCUUCUGUGACGGAUCUGCGGUAGAGCGUGUAUGUUAGGACCCGAAAGAUGGUGAACUAUGCCUGAAUAGGGUGAAGCCAGAGGAAACUCUGGUGGAGGCUCGUAGCGAUUCUGACGUGCAAAUCGAUCGUCAAAUUUGGGUAUAGGGGCGAAAGACUAAUCGAACCAUCUAGUAGCUGGUUCCUGCCGAUUUCCCUCC
rnacentral:rRNA from 1 species